AGUUUAUACCGUUUAUACUCGGUAAUACCGGUGUUGAGACGAGUGUAUUACUCGUUGUGAAAAUGUCCACACCGCAGCAACCCUAGUGAAAACCAGGACUUCCAAUACAAUUAUAUGAAACAAACAUACAUUUUCUAAAAAUAAACGUAUUCUCAGCAGGGGGUGCUGGAAAAAAAAACCUCAGCCUGCACUAGACUCGCAACUCGUUACAUUGAUAAAAAAGAUAUAUAGCAGCGCAGCUCAAU